rnacentral:pre_miRNA from 1 species
UAAUAUAUUUGAGGAAGUGAAUUCAUACAAAUAUCUCGAAAUCAAUCUUCAUCACAAGCUUGACUAAAACUAUGACAUUGAGAAAAGGAUAAAUGGAGGGUCGAAAGCUCGUUAUGGAAUUGAAAA